rnacentral:rRNA from 1 species
AGUGAACGCUGGCGGUAGGCCUAACACAUGCAAGUCGAACGGCAGCACAGUAAGAUCUUGCUCUUACGGGUGGCGAGUGGCGGACGGGUGAGGAAUACAUCGUAAUCUACUUUUUCUUGUGGGAUAACGUAGGGAAACUUACGCUAAUACCGCAUACGACCUACGGGUGAAAGCAGGGGAUCUUCUGACCUUGCGCGAUUGAAUGAGCCGAUGUCGGAUUAGCUAGUUGGCGGGGUAAAGGCCCACCAAGGCGACGAUCCGUAGCUGGUCUGAGAGGAUGAUCAGCCACACUGGAACUGAGACACGGUCCAGACUCCUACGGGAGGCAGCAGUGGGGAAUAUUGGACAAUGGGCGCAAGCCUGAUCCAGCCAUACCGCGUGUGUGAAGAAGGCCUUCGGGUUGUAAAGCCCUUUUGUUGGGAAAGAAAAGCAGCAGGUUAAUACCCCGCUGUUCUGACGGUACCCAAAGAAUAAGCACCGGCUAACUUCGUG